rnacentral:lncRNA from 1 species
GUUAAACAUUAAAUUUAAGUAAUAUUCAGACAUUAUAUUUAUGGUUAACUUAUACCCAAAAAUACAUGAAAAUACUCUCUCUGGUAUAAAUGAUAUGAAUAGUAACACCUGAUUGGUUUGUCAUUUAUGAUCAUAUGGUGAAUAUAUUACACAUUGAAUAUAUCUUACCUUUCCCCCCUACAACACCUCUGUAGUCUUAAUCAAGAAUUUUGAAUUCUAUAUAUAAAUACCAUCUUUCCUUUCCAUUAUUGAUUUUGCUUUUGAUAGACAACUUAUUUCUGCUUUGUUUGCCGUCUUAUUAUAUAACUAGAAUGAUCAGUAUUAGAAAUGGGUAUUCUUCUGACUUUUUGUCCAAAAAUUAGAAAGCCACAGUAGGUGAAAAUGAGUAGACAUGUUGAAUAAUUUUUGUUUUACUUAAAAUGUAUAUGUAUCAAGUGCUUAUUUUGCUUACAUUAAGUGCUCCCUUGUAAUAUCUACCUUAAAUGUUCAAUUCUGAGCUUACGUCAGUAAACUUUACACUGCCAUUUACAUUUUUGAAAGAGUUUUCAGUACUGGAUUUGAUUGUAACACAGUGAUUCAAACUAUUAAAUAGUGAAAGACAAACAAGAAGAUUUUUAUGUUAAUCUUGUAUUGAACAGCAUUAUAAAACUAGUUAUUGCAUAAUUGUAAGCAAAGAUGGAUGGUGCUUUUUUUUUAUAAAGAAUAUGAAAGUCUUUGCAAAACAAUUCAAACUUAGUGUGUAAUUGUUAUUCUUAAAUAAAUGUUAU